rnacentral:rRNA from 1 species
ACGGAAGGCAGCAGUCGGGAAUAUUGCGCAAUGGAGGAAACUCUGACGCAGUGACGCCGCGUGCAGGAAGAAGGUUUUCGGAUUGUAAACUGCUUUAGACAGGGAAGAACAAUGACAGUACCUGUAGAAUAAGCUCCGGCUAACUACGUGCCAGCAGCCGCGGUAAUACGUAGGGAGCAAGCGUUAUCCGGAUUUAUUGGGUGUAAAGGGUGCGUAGACGGGAAGUUAAGUUAGUUGUGAAAUCCCUCGGCUCAGCUGAGGAACUGCAACUAAAACUGAUUUUCUUGAGUACUGGAGAGGAAAGUGGAAUUCCUAGUGUAGCGGUGAAAUGCGUAGAUAUUAGGAGGAACACCAGCGGCGAAGGCGGCUUUCUGGACUGUAACUGACGUUGAGGCACGAAAGUGUGGGGAGCAAACAGGAUUAGAUACCCUGGUA